rnacentral:rRNA from 1 species
GGGUGAAGACAUGGUAUCUUCGGACCCUGCGCGAUUGAAUGAGCCGAUGCCCGAUUAGCUAGUUGGCGGGGUAAGAGCCCACCAAGGCGACGAUCGGUAGCUGGUCUGAGAGGAUGAUCAGCCACACUGGAACUGAGACACGGUCCAGACUCCUACGGGAGGCAGCAGUGGGGAAUAUUGGACAAUGGGCGCAAGCCUGAUCCAGCCAUACCGCGUGGGUGAAGAAGGCCUUCGGGUUGUAAAGCCCUUUUGUUGGGAAAGAAAAGCAGCCGGUUAAUACCCGGUUGUUCUGACGGUACCCAAAGAAUAAGCACCGGCUAACUUCGUGCCAACAGCCGCGGUAAUACGAAGGGUGCAAGCGUUACUCGGAAUUACUGGGGCGUAAAGCGUGCGUAGGUGGUUGUUUAAGUCUGGCGUGACAGCCCUGGGCUCAACCUGGGGGAAUGGCG